UACGUAGGGGGGCAAGCGUUGUCCGGAUUCAUUGGGCGUAAAGAGCGUGUAGGCGGCCAGGUAGGUCGGUUGUGAAAACUGGGAGGCUCAACCUUCAGAGGUCGACCGAAACCAUCUGGCUAGAGUCCGGGAGAGGAGAGUGGAAUUCCUGGUGUAGCGGUGAAAUGCGCAGAUAUCAGGAAGAACACCCGUGGCGAAAGCGGCUCUCUGGAACGGUACUGACGCUGAGACGCGAAAGCGUGGGGAGCGAACAGG
rnacentral:rRNA from 1 species